AGCAGCCGCGGUAAUUCCAGCUCCAAUAGCGUAUAUUAAAGUUGUUGCAGUUAAAAAGCUCGUAGUUGAAUUUCGGGGUUAGCAGGUCGGUCGUGCCAUCGGUAUGAACUGGUCUCGCUGAUCCCUCCCUCUUGACGAACUGUGAUGCCAUUAAUUUGGUGUCGCAGGGAAUCAGGACUGUUACUUUGAAAAAAUUAGAGUGUUUAAAGCAGGCUCACGCUUGAAUACAUUAGCAUGGAAUAAUGAAAUAGGACGUUUGAUCCUAUUUUGUUGGCUUCUAGGAUUGACGUAAUGAUUAAUAGGGAUAGUUGGGGGCAUUAGUAUUCAAUUGUCAGAGGUGAAAUUCUUGGAUUUAUUGAAGACUAACUACUGCGAAAGCAUUUGCCAAGGAUGUUUUCAUUAAUCAAGAACGAAAGUUAGGGGAUCGAAGACGAUCAGAUACCGUCGUAGUCUUAACCAUAAACUAUGCCGACUAGGGAUCGGAUGAUGUUAAUUUUUUAAUGACU
rnacentral:misc_RNA from 1 species